rnacentral:misc_RNA from 1 species
GGAAGUAAAAGCGUAACAAGGUCUCCGUAGGUGAACCUGCGGAGGGAUCAUUACAGAGUUCAUGCCCUACCGGGUAGAUCUCCCACCCUAUGUUAUUAUUACUUUGUUGCUUUGGCGGGCCGUUAGGCUCCGGCCCGACUACCGGCCCCGGCUGGUAAGCGCCCGCCAGAGGACCCAAAACCCUGAAUAUUAGUGUCGUCUGAGUACUAUAUAAUAGUUAAAACUUUCAACAACGGAUCUCUUGGUUCUG